rnacentral:rRNA from 1 species
GUGCCUAAUACAUGCAAGUCGAGCGAACAGACGAGGAGCUUGCUCCUCUGACGUUAGCGGCGGACGGGUGAGUAACACGUGGAUAACCUACCUAUAAGACUGGGAUAACUUCGGGAAACCGGAGCUAAUACCGGAUAAUAUAUUGAACCGCAUGGUUCAAUAGUGAAAGACGGUUUUGCUGUCACUUAUAGAUGGAUCCGCGCCGCAUUAGCUAGUUGGUAAGGUAACGGCUUACCAAGGCAACGAUGCGUAGCCGACCUGAGAGGGUGAUCGGCCACACUGGAACUGAGACACGGUCCAGACUCCUACGGGAGGCAGCAGUAGGGAAUCUUCCGCAAUGGGCGAAAGCCUGACGGAGCAACGCCGCGUGAGUGAUGAAGGUCUUCGGAUCGUAAAACUCUGUUAUUAGGGAAGAACAAAUGUGUAAGUAACUAUGCACGUCUUGACGGUACCUAAUCAGAAAGCCACGGCUAACUACGUGCCAGCAGCCGCGGUAAUACGUAGGUGGCAAGCGUUAUCCGGAAUUAUUGGGCGUAAAGCGCGCGUAGGCGGUUUUUUAAGUCUGAUGUGAAAGCCCACGGCUCAACCGUGGAGGGUCAUUGGAAACUGGAAAACUUGAGUGCAGAAGAGGAAAGUGGAAUUCCAUGUGUAGCGGUGAAAUGCGCAGAGAUAUGGAGGAACACCAGUGGCGAAGGCGACUUUCUGGUCUGUAACUGACGCUGAUGUGCGAAAGCGUGGGGAUCAA